UGUCUUAAAUUUAAAGAAUUUGGCGGUAUUUUAGUCUAGUUAGAGGAACCUGUUUUGUAAGCGAUACUACACGUAAUAUCUUACUUAUUUUUGUUUGUUUGUAUACCGUCAUUAUUAGAUAACUUUGAUAGAUAUAAGUUAUUAGAACUAAAAUAUUAAAUAUAUUAGAUCAAGGUGCAGCUGAUGGAUAAGGGGAAAUGGGUUACAAUAAAAUUUAUUUAACGGAUUAGUUUUCGAAGGGGUUAUUUAAGGUGGAUUUAAUUGUAAUUAUUAUUUAAUAAGUUGUAGUGAUAU
rnacentral:rRNA from 1 species